rnacentral:tRNA from 2 species
GACUGGUAGCUCACUUGGUAGAGCGCUCCACCUGUAAUGGAGAGGUCCCGGGUUCGAUACCCGGACCAGGCG